UCAGCAUCGACAAACCGGCAUCGUCUUUCUAUAAUAAUAAAACAAAACUGACGGCGUCAGAAAGCUAGUUUUGCUGUUAAAUUCAGGUUCUGAUAUCCGUUCAGUACAAAGUCCAAAAACAAAAACGGACAGCAACCAUCCAUGCAACAGUCAGAUUCCAAAACGCUGAUACAGAUACACAACUGAAACCCGCACACUCCUCAUCAUAAGAACAUAUGAAAAAGCUACAAUCCAAACUAAUACUAGACGACCCUGGAGGCCUGGCCACCAUCAAACAUUCAAGAAAUGCAACCAGGCGACGCCAUUCACGUGUUAAUAAAACAUUCUGCUCCGCGGGCGCACUUUUCUAGCUUCGGUAGAUAACAUCGCCGGUGCAGGCUCACUCCAGCAGCACAAGUAGUUCUACUCCGGGAUCAUCUGUUCAGUGUCCGCAUCUUCACCCGUUUCAAUCUGGGGUUGCUU
rnacentral:lncRNA from 1 species